rnacentral:RNase_P_RNA from 1 species
CGAAAGGCUAGGGCAAGUGCAACAGAAAGGAAACCGCCCCGCGCUUGCGUGGGGUAAGGGUGAAACGGUGCGGUAAGAGCGCACCAGCAGGCCGGGUGACCGGCUUGGCUAGGUAAACCCCACCCGGAGCAAUGCCAAACAGAAAGCAGUUCCGUCAACGCGGGACAGGGAUCGGUCCGAUCCGUUAUCGACUUUCGGGUAGGCUGCGUGAGAUGACGAGUAAUCGUCGUCCUAGAUAAAUGACUGCUACGCAGUUCACACGAACUGCGACAGGACCCGGCUUACAGGUCCACUCCGCAU